rnacentral:lncRNA from 1 species
AACUUGGGAGUCCAUUACCACAGGCUGUGGUGUUGGCUACCGGCUUCGAUGCUUUCAAAGAAAAGGCUUGGACCAGUUCGUGGCAGCCACGGCUACCAAUGGCUAGUAGCCCNGGUGGCAGGAGGAGGGGGCCAGCUGCUGGGAGAUUGCGGGCCGGGCAAGCAGUGUGCUCGUGGCCUGCUGGUGGGCUCCUUUGUGUGACCAAUUGGCCACUGUGUUGAGCAUCCUGCUGGACUGGAUGGGCCAGGGGUCCGAUUUCGUGGCGCCUCUCUUCUGAUCUCCCCCUAUUCAGGGGUAUCAAUGGCUCUUAGCUCCCAUGGCCGGAGGAGGCCGUUUCCCUCNGAAGGCCGGUUGUUGAGAGACCGAGAGCAGAGCAAGCUGCGCGUUCGGGUCCUGCUGGCGGGCUUCCCUGCUUGGCCACUGGGAGGGCCGGUUGCCGCUGCGCUCGACGGGCUGUGGGUCCGACCCAGGGAAGCGGCAGCCCGAGCCGGGGCGUGCGCCGCUGGAUUCUCUCCCCUAGGGGUCGUCGGGAGCAGCGAAGCGGAAAAGCGCUGGACGGCGCCGGGCUGAGCGGAGGCGCGGAGGCGCUGCCAAAGCGGAGCUCGCUCACUCGCUCGCUCGCCACGCCUGGUCCCACCUCGCGCUGCCGCGCUGCCGCGCCGCCGUUGCCUUCGCCGCCGCUGGGUUGCUCGAAGGAGCCGUCUGGGCCAGAUGCCGCGACGGACGCCCCAGGAGUUCCGCCGCCCGGCGUAGUGUCUGUGGAAGGGCUGAGGGAGACGGGCUUCUCGGCGACGCGCCUCCGGACCUUUGCUUGGGGGUUUCCUGUCUCCCCACAGGAAUCACAGGGGGCCACGAGGCUGUGUUUCCACUGGACAUCAUCUUCAUCCCACAGGGGGGGCCCAUUCGGCGGCCCNUGCCGAGACGACAGCCAUGCCGGAUCCGUCCCUGAGCGAUCCGUGGGGGGCNGUAGGCUACUGAAGAGCCUGCAUUUCCACCGGGCAUCAUCGUUCUGCAAGGGGCCCACCNGGUGA